rnacentral:rRNA from 1 species
ACGGGUGAGUAACACGUUUGCAACCUUCCUCUAACUGGAGAAUAGCCCGAAGAAAUUCGGAUUAAUACUCCAUAAAGUCAAUUUAAGGCAUCUUUUAUUGAUUAAAGCUCCGGCGGUUAGAGAUGGGCAUGCGUGUCAUUAGCUAGUUGGUGAGGUAACGGCUCACCAAGGCCACGAUGACUAGGGGGUCUGAGAGGAUGAUCCCCCACACUGGUACUGAGACACGGACCAGACUCCUACGGGAGGCAGCAGUGAGGAAUAUUGGGCAAUGGACGCAAGUCUGACCCAGCCAUGCCGCGUGCAGGAUGACUGCCCUAUGGGUUGUAAACUGCUUUUGUUUGGGAAGAAACCCCCGAUCGUGAUCGGGGGUGACGGUACCAUACGAAUAAGCAUCGGCUAACUCCGUGCCAGCAGCCGCGGUAAUACGGAGGAUACAAGCGUUAUCCGGAUUCAUUGGGUUUAAAGGGUGCGCAGGCGGAAUAUUAAGUCAGUGGUGAAAUCCUGCAGCUUAACUGUAGAACUGCCAUUGAUACUGAUAUUCUUGAAUAUAGUUGAGGUGGGCGGAAUGUGUAAUGUAGCGGUGAAAUGCUUAGAUAUUACACAGAACACCAAUUGCGAAGGCAGCUCACUAAACUAAUAUUGACGCUGAGGCACGAAAGCGUGGGUAGCAAACAGGAUUAGAUACCCUGGUAGUCCACGCUGUAAACUAUGAUCACUCGCUGUUGGCAAUACAUCGUCAGCGGCUGAGCGAAAGCAUUAAGUGAUCCACCUGGGGAGUACGGUCGCAAGAUUGAAACUCAAAGGAAUUGACGGGGGCCCGCACAAGCGGGUGGAGCAUGUGGUUUAAUUCGAAGCAACGCGCAGAACCUUACCAACCCUUGACAUCCUGAUCGCGGUUUCUCGAGAGAGAUUCCUUCAGUUCGGCUGGAUCAGUGACAGGUGCUGCAUGGCUGUCGUCAGCUCGUGUCGUGAGAUGUUCGGUUAAGUCCGGCAACGAGCGCAACCCACACGCCUAGUUACCAGCGGUUCGGCCGGGGACUCUAGGGGAACUGCCCGUGAUAAGCGGGAGGAAGGUGUGGAUGACGUCAAGUCCUCAUGGCCCUUACGGGUUGGGCUACACACGUGCUACAAUGGCAGUGACAAUGGGU